rnacentral:rRNA from 1 species
CAGCCGCCGCGGUAAUACGGAGGGUGCAAGCGUUAAUCGGAAUUACUGGGCGUAAAGCGCACGCAGGCGGUUUGUUAAGUCAGAUGUGAAAUCCCCGAGCUUAACUUGGGAACUGCAUUUGAAACUGGCAAGCUAGAGUCUUGUAGAGGGGGGUAGAAUUCCAGGUGUAGCGGUGAAAUGCGUAGAGAUCUGGAGGAAUACCGGUGGCGAAGGCGGCCCUCUGGACAAAGACUGACGCUCAGGUGCGAAAGCGUGGGGAGCAAACAGGAUUAGAUACCCCGGUAGUCCCUGUCUCUUAUAC